rnacentral:rRNA from 1 species
CCUCGGGCGGCUGCAGUGGGGAAUAUUGGACAAUGGGCGAAAGCCUGAUCCAGCCAUGCCGCGUGUGUGAAGAAGGCCUUCGGGUUGUAAAGCACUUUCAGUGGGGAAGAAAGCCUUGGGGCUAAUACCCUCGAGGAAGGACAUCACCCACAGAAGAAGCACCGGCUAACUCCGUGCCAGCAGCCGCGGUAAUACGGAGGGUGCGAGCGUUAAUCGGAAUUACUGGGCGUAAAGCGCGCGUAGGCGGUCUGAUAAGCCGGUUGUGAAAGCCCCGGGCUCAACCUGGGAACGGCAUCCGGAACUGUCAGGCUAGAGUGCAGGAGAGGAAGGUAGAAUUCCCGGUGUAGCGGUGAAAUGCGUAGAGAUCGGGAGGAAUACCAGUGGCGAAGGCGGCCUUCUGGACUGACACUGACGCUGAGGUGCGAAAGCGUGGGUAGCAAACAGGAUUAGAUACCCGAGUAGU